GACGACGGGUAGCCGGCCUGAGAGGGCGACCGGCCACACUGGGACUGAGACACGGCCCAGACUCCUACGGGAGGCAGCAGUGGGGAAUAUUGCGCAAUGGGCGAAAGCCUGACGCAGCGACGCCGCGUGAGGGAUGAAGGCCUUCGGGUUGUAAACCUCUUUCAGCAGGGACGAAGCGAAAGUGACGGUACCUGCAGAAGAAGCACCGGCUAACUACGUGCCAGCAGCCGCGGUAAUACGUAGGGUGCAAGCGUUGUCCGGAUUUAUUGGGCGUAAAGAGCUCGUAGGCGGUUUGUCGCGUCGGAUGUGAAAACCCAGGGCUCAACCCUGGGCCUGCACUCGAUACGGGCAGACUAGAGUAUGGCAGGGGAGACUGGAAUUCCUGGUGUAGCGGUGAAAUGCGCAGAUAUCAGGAGGAACACCGGUGGCGAAGGCGGGUCUCUGGGCCAAAACUGACGCUGAGGAGCGAAAGCGUGGGGAGCGAACAGGAUUAGAUACCCUGGUAGUCCACGCCGUAAACGUGGGGCGCUAGGUGUAGGGGACCUUCCACGUCCUCUGUGCCGCAGCUAACGC
rnacentral:rRNA from 1 species